rnacentral:rRNA from 1 species
ACGAACGCUGGCGGCGUGCUUCACCCAUGCAAGUCGUACGGUAAGGCCCUUUCGGGGGUACACGAGUGGCGAACGGGUGAGUAACACGUGAGUAACCUGCCCACAACUUUGGGAUAACGCUAGGAAACUGGUGCUAAUACUGGAUAUGUGCUCCUGCUGCAUGGUGGGGGUUGGAAAGCUCCGGCGGUUGUGGAUGGACUCGCGGCCUAUCAGCUUGUUGGUGGGGUAGUGGCCUACCAAGGCGGCGACGGGUAGCCGGCCUGAGAGGGUGACCGGCCACAUUGGGACUGAGAUACGGCCCAGACUCCUACGGGAGGCAGCAGUGGGGAAUAUUGCACAAUGGGCGCAAGCCUGAUGCAGCAACGCCGCGUGCGGGAUGACGGCCUUCGGGUUGUAAACCGCUUUCAGCAGGGACGAAGCUUUUUGUGACGGUACCUGCAGAAGAAGCACCGGCUAACUACGUG